UUAUCAUUCAGCAGUCAAGAAUAUUAGUCAAUGCUCGAAAGAGUGAACUAGCUAACUGAAUCAAUUAAAAAUUGAUAACAUAAGGGAAAAUAAUGAUAUUACCUUAUUAUUAGUGUCGUCCAAAACUGGUGCCAGAAGACUCGGUAAGGCCAGAGACAUAAACGUUAAUCGUCUUAAUCAGGCGUAAAGGGUUUGUAGGCGGCUUUUAAUUUUACUUAUUUAUUCUGUUUUCGUUAUUUUUUUAAUUAAAAUUUAUAAGUAAAGAAUAAAAGCUAGAAUCAAAUAGAGGAUAUAUUAAAUAAUGCUUAGAGUAGGUCUGAUAUCCAUAGAUACUAAGUAGAAUAUUAAAGGCGAAGGCUUUUUUCCAUUAAUGAUUGACGCUCAGAAACGAAGGUGAGGAUAGGAAAUAGGAUUAGAUACCCAAAAUACCCCUCUCUGUCAACGAUGAAUGGUAGUUAUUAGUAAUAAAUUAAUUAAUGACAAUGUUAACACGAUAACCAUUCCGCCUUGUGAGUACAACUGCAAAGUUGAAAACAAAAAAAUUAGUCGGUUUCGGAGCAAACGAAGUGAAGCAUGUUAUUUAAUUCGAUAAUCCGCAGUAGAUAUU
rnacentral:rRNA from 1 species